rnacentral:rRNA from 1 species
AGUGAACGCUGGCGGUAGGCCUAACACAUGCAAGUCGAACGGCAGCACAGUAAGAUCUUGCUCUUACGGGUGGCGAGUGGCGGACGGGUGAGGAAUACAUCGGAAUCUACUUUUUCGUGGGGGAUAACGUAGGGAAACUUACGCUAAUACCGCAUACGACCUACGGGUGAAAGCAGGGGAUCUUCGGACCUUGCGCGAUUGAAUGAGCCGAUGUCGGAUUAGCUAGUUGGCGGGGUAAAGGCCCACCAAGGCGACGAUCCGUAGCUGGUCUGAGAGGAUGGUCAGCCACACUGGAACUGAGACACGGUCCAGACUCCUACGGGAGGCAGCAGUGGGGAAUAUUGGACAAUGGGCGCAAGCAUGAUCCAGCCAUACCGCGUGGGUGACGAAGGCCUUCGGGUUGUAAAGACCUUUUGUUGGGAAAGAAAAGCAGCAGGUUAAUACCCAGCUGUUCUGACGGUACCCAAAGAAUAAGCACCGGCUAACUUCGUG